GCCCCUCCGACCCGUCUAGAAACACGGACCAAGGAGUCUAAGAUGCGUGCGAGUGUUAGGGUGUUGAAAGCCGUGACGCGCAAUGAAAGUGAUAGGUGCUAUGGGGCGGAGGAAGUCCGUCCCGGCAACAUCGGCCGCUUUUGUUUCUCGAAGCAAAAAGUGAGUUGGAGCAUGUAUGUUGGGACCCGAAAGAUGGUGAUCUAUGCUUGUGUAGGGCGAAGCCAGGUGAAAAGCUGGUGGAGGUCCGCAAACGGUUCUGACGUGCAAAUCGAUCGUGAGACAUGGGUAUAGGGGCGAAAGACUCAUCGAACCAUCGAGUAGCUGGUUCCCUCCGAAAUUUCCCUUAGGAUAGCAAUAACU
rnacentral:rRNA from 1 species